GUUUGUGUGGUGUCUUGAGAAAUGUCUCUUCGCCUCUUUUUGCCCAUUUGAAAAAUUGGGUUAUUUGUGUUUUUAUCAUUGAGUUGUAAUGAUGCUUUAGUAUUGUGGACACCGGCCCCUGUAAGGGGUGUGACCCACCACGUUCCUCCUCCGUGGUCGGAUCAUCAUUUUCUGUUUCUUUGAAUACUUUCUCUGCCCCCAUCCUCCUCUGAUCCUCUGCCUACCCAGGUAGGCCCUUGUCACAGUCCCCCAGUUUAUUGUCUUUAAGACAAUAGAUUUGUUAAAGCACAAU
rnacentral:lncRNA from 1 species